UUGAAACAUUGGUUCCUAUGAGAUCACCAAAGUUAAGCAACAUUGACCCUGGUCAGUAACUAGAUGGGUGACAACUUGGGAAUACUAGGUGCUGUAAG